UUGGCAGUUCUAUCAUGAGAUGUUGAUGGGGAGGCAACACUGCUUCUUGGUAUGUCAAUAAUGUGCUCACUACUGUUAAGACUCUCAGGUCUCUCCAUUAACAAUGGGAAGGUUUCAGUUUGACAAUCAGAAUGUUGCUCUGUUGAGGAAACAUCCAUCUAAGUCCACCAAAACAACUGGAAAUGACAGAGGCAUAGAAUCUCAGAAUGAGAUUAACACCUUGACAUCACUUCACAAAUGUACAGUACAGAACAGUGUCACUCUUGUCCCAAUAGUUUACCAAGUUGUAACCAGCAACUCAAAUUACUGGACACAACAUGGAGUAGAUAAUUUAACAAUCUUCAUUCAGUUUGGAUUGGAUAAAAAGCGAGAACUGCAGAGAGAGAAGAAGAUGGUAAGCAGUGAAACGACGUCGCUGUAAGCGGAACAAUGAUUAUGCUUAUUCUUGAGUGCGUUUCGUAGCUUUCUUUUUAAAGAGGGAGGAUAAAGAGUCAGCUUUCGACCUCCAUUGCUUCGCUGAGUGGUCUGCGAG
rnacentral:misc_RNA from 1 species